rnacentral:rRNA from 1 species
CUGGCGGCAGGCCUAACACAUGCAAGUCGAGCGGUAGCACAGAGAGCUUGCUCUCGGGUGACGAGCGGCGGACGGGUGAGUAAUGUCUGGGAAACUGCCUGAUGGAGGGGGAUAACUACUGGAAACGGUAGCUAAUACCGCAUAAUGUCGCAAGACCAAAGUGGGGGACCUUCGGGCCUCAUGCCAUCAGAUGUGCCCAGAUGGGAUUAGCUAGUAGGUGGGGUAAUGGCUCACCUAGGCGACGAUCCCUAGCUGGUCUGAGAGGAUGACCAGCCACACUGGAACUGAGACACGGUCCAGACUCCUACGGGAGGCAGCAGUGGGGAAUAUUGCACAAUGGGCGCAAGCCUGAUGCAGCCAUGCCGCGUGUGUGAAGAAGGCCUUCGGGUUGUAAAGCACUUUCAGCGGGGAGGAAGGCGAUAAGGUUAAUAACCUUGUCGAUUGACGUUACCCGCAGAAGAAGCACCGGCUAACUCCGUGCCAGCAGCCGCGGUAAUACGGAGGGUGCAAGCGUUAAUCGGAAUUACUGGGCGUAAAGCGCACGCAGGCGGUCUGUCAAGUCGGAUGUGAAAUCCCCGGGCUUAACCUGGGAACUGCAUUCGAAACUGGCAGGCUAGAGUCUUGUAGAGGGGGGUAGAAUUCCAGGUGUAGCGGUGAAAUGCGUAGAGAUCUGGAGGAAUACCGGUGGCGAAGGCGGCCCCCUGGACAAAGACUGACGCUCAGGUGCGAAAGCGUGGGGAGCAAACAGGAUUAGAUACCCUGGUAGUCCACGCCGUAAACGAUGUCGAUUUGGAGGUUGUGCCCUUGAGGCGUGGCUUCCGGAGCUAACGCGUUAAAUCGACCGCCUGGGGAGUACGGCCGCAAGGUUAAAACUCAAAUGAAUUGACGGGGGCCCGCACAAGCGGUGGAGCAUGUGGUUUAAUUCGAUGCAACGCGAAGAACCUUACCUGGUCUUGACAUCCACAGAACUUUCCAGAGAUGGAUUGGUGCCUUCGGGAACUGUGAGACAGGUGCUGCAUGGCUGUCGUCAGCUCGUGUUGUGAAAUGUUGGGUUAAGUCCCGCAACGAGCGCAACCCUUAUCCUUUGUUGCCAGCGGUCCGGCCGGGAACUCAAAGGAGACUGCCAGUGAUAAACUGGAGGAAGGUGGGGAUGACGUCAAGUCAUCAUGGCCCUUACGACCAGGGCUACACACGUGCUACAAUGGCAUAUACAAAGAGAAGCGACCUCGCGAGAGCAAGCGGACCUCAUAAAGUAUGUCGUAGUCCGGAUUGGAGUCUGCAACUCGACUCCAUGAAGUCGGAAUCGCUAGUAAUCGUAGAUCAGAAUGCUACGGUGAAUACGUUCCCGGGCCUUGUACACACCGCCCGUCACACCAUGGGAGUGGGUUGCAAAAGAAGUAGGUAGCUUAACCUUCGGGAGGGCGCUUACCACUUUGUGAUUCAUGACUGGGGUG